rnacentral:lncRNA from 1 species
CAGAAACCCCUGAUAAACCCAUCAGUUUUCAUGAGACUUAUUCACUAUCACGAGAAUAGCAUGGGAAAGACUAGCUCCCAUGAUUAUUACCUCCCCCUGGUUCUCUCCCAUAACGUGGGAAUUCUGGGAGAUACAAUUCAAGUUGAGAUUUGGGUGGGGACACAGCCAAACCAUAUCACUGACUUAUUUCACUUAAGACAAUAUUUCCAGUUUCAUCUUUGAUGCUGCAAAAGAUGUGAUUCUGUUCUUUUUUUAUGGCUGAAUAUACACUACAUUUUCUUUAUCCAACCAUCUGGUGAUGGAUACUUAAGUUGAUUCCUUAUCUUUGCUACAGUUCAGUGAUUUUUAAAGUAAACUUACAGAGUUGGGAAAUCAUCAUCAUAAUCCACUUGGAACAUUUUUAUCUCUGCAACAAGAUGUGUCCAUUUGUAGUCACAACUUGUUCCCACCACAACCCCCAGGCUGCCAGGAAUCUACUUUCUGUUUCUAUACAUUUUUUCUGGGCAUUUUAUAAAAAUGGAAUCAUGAAGUCUUUUGUGUCUGGCUUCUUUCACAGUAUAAUCUUUUUGAGAGUCAUCUGUAGUACUUGUGUUUCCUCUUAUUGUUGAAUAGCAGCCCAUUGUAUGGGCAUACUGUACUUUGUCUAUGCAUUCACCAGUUGGUGGACACUUGAAUUGUUUCCACAUUUUGGCAACUAUGAAUAAUGCUGCUAUGGACAUUCGUGUACAAGUGCUCGUGUAGACAUAUUAAUAUGUAAUCUUGUUCUAAAAGUCUAAAAUUCUAAGAAUUUAUCGAACUUGUGAAGAGAAUGACUAUUGAAACUAGCCUUGGUUCUUAUCCUUUGGAUGUGACUACAUUUUUGUCAGAAUGUCAUGAAGAAGCAUAAUUAUUUAUAUCCAAGAUAGAAUUUAACUUUCAAUUAAAAAAUGUUAAAGUUGAUUUUUAAUAAAAUACUUGGACAAAAGUAGAUCAGGGAUUAGGUUGAUUGCUUUUAAAUUUUAGUGUAAAAUUUCAAGAAAGGUUAGACUAGAUUCCAGUGGCUGCAAUGCUGCACAGCUAUAGGCCGCAUCCUCUCAUUGGAGUUGUGUGUGCAGGUGUGCCCUUCAUGUGGGAUGCAGUGGGAAUGGUGCCGUCCAGAGCUGUGUGUGAACAGGUGUCCAUACUGCUAGUCUUUGAGUCUGGGUAAUCUCCACUCUGUCCCUGGAGGGUGGGCCUGUUCUGCUUCUAGAGGUCAAUGCCAAGUCAGAAAGGGAGUCAAGGCCCAGAAUGCCACUCUGCAGACUACUAUAGUUCCAGACUCUAGGGAGUCCUGGGCAGGGGGCUUAUCUUAAACCAAAGGAAUUUCAGACUAGAAUUGUAGAUGGUGCCCUUGAAGAGCUGAUGGGACAGAUUGAAAGUCCUGACUCCCAGCUAAAGCAGUAUCCUACACACCCUCCCAUCUGGAGAGAUCUUGGGCUAGAUGCCCCCAGUCUAACUGAGACGCUGACUUUGGAGGGUUGUUCCAGCCUUGCAAUAGUAGUACCUUUUUGUUUAGGUGGGAGUGGAUUAGAACAGUGGGUAAAGUUUUGGGGUGAAAGAAGCCAACUGGGACAUAUGUCUUAGGGGGACACAGGCUUUGUCCAUCCUUUCUCUAAAAGUACUGGGCUGAACCCUCUCAGCAGAGAGUUGUGGAAAAUUAGAGACGUUCUGUGGAAAGACCAAGUUAAUGUUCAAGUCUCAGAAUCUGAUCUUAGGUCAAAUAUCUCUUGCUUUUGCCAGUAAAAAGAGCCCAGAUGUUUUUCUAUUUACUUAGGCAAACCCUUGAAACACAAGUUAGUCAUAUAAAACUUUACAUUUGCAAUGUUAAGAGCCCAUAUUUGGAAAGUCACAAGCAUAAAAUAUAUACUGUGAAAUGGGAGGUCAGGACGGUGAACUCAUUUCAGAACCAUAGUUUUGACUCAAGAAUUUUGAUGGGGUCUUCACGUUGGUUGAGCUUCUUGGUCCUAAUAUCAUUGAGAGAAUUAAAUCAUGAUAUUAAAACAUUGAAACACUAAUGCUUUGUUUUUAUUGGCAAGAACCAAAAUGAUCUAAUACUAAUGCCACGAAACAUCAGUCACUUUUUUCCUGAUGAAUAAGAUGAACUUUGGCUGCUUAUGAUAGUAAAUUUAAUAAUGUCAGUGAUUUGAACUGUUUCAGUUCUAAAUGUGCAGAAAUGUGUUUUACUGCAUCUCUCUCUCUCUCUCUCUCUCUCACACACACACACACACACACACACACACACUACUUCUGUCAGGAAGUUUUGUGGCAAAUGAGCCCAAAUGCAUAGAUUAGAGCAUAUCAUUCACAUGUGCCAUGUGUGUGCCAAAGUGUGCGUACCCACUGCUAGACUUCCUCUCACAGGUGGUCUGAAUUUGCUUCUAGCUGGUCCUGUAAGCAGAUUUAAUAUUUCAUAAGCACUGCUCCAUCUCAUGCCUCCAUUAUUGACACCACAUGGAAGUCAGGAAAUUGGUUCUUUCUGGGAACAGUUUGCAGAAAUAUGCAGCCUGUCAGCCCCUUUCUCAUGGGUGCAUUAACAGAGCAGCUCACGAUUACAAGUAACGAACCUUCUCCAGAUGUGUGUAGCAACUCAGCUCCAACUUUAUCUUCGGCCCUGAAGAUGGACUUGGCAAGAUGGAUUAUUUGUGGCUGUAUUGUAAUAACUUUGUGAAAUUGGAAUUCCCAGUGAUUGUAAUGGAGGGUGAGGAAGCGGCAGCAGAGGAACAGAUAAUUUCUCCUUGCAGUAAACAACGAAAAGACCAACAACAAUAAAAAGGGCAAAUCAGCUGUGGCAUUUUCCUGCUUUGGACACCGACUCUUCCAGACUGUUCUAAUUCUUUCCCUUUUAUGAUUCUGUUUAUGUUACACACAUUAAAGUUAAGUCAUGUCUUAAAUAAGAUGGAAACUGGAAGUGAGAUUUGGAAAUGACUGAAUCAGGCUUCUUAACUUUUUUCUUCUCUUGGAGAGCUCAAAAACAACGGACAGAAAGGGAUAUACCAAAGAAAACAAUAUUAAUUGUCGGCUUCCAUGGAAAAUUCAAUCCAGUCUUUCAUUCAUUCUCUUCCCAGUGCAGUGCCAGCAGACUUCUCUCUAUAUGGCUAAGGGCUUAAUUUAGCUGACAAAUUUCUGAAGGAUAACUAAGCUUUCAGAAAGAAAGAUUCUAGCUAUAAAUGAAGCAUGUGUGCUCUCUCAGUCACAAAAGACAGAUUUUUCCAGGAUAAAGUAAUUUGGGGUAAAUUUCUCCUGUAUUUUAUUAGCAGUGAUGAUUUCAAGGGAGUAUUCUUUUAAAGCAAGGCAGUAUUUAAAUCUUUCUUUUAAAUCACAAGUCCCUUGAGUUGAUAGUUAUAAAACUGGGUUCCACUGGGAGUUAUUUGUACAUCUUCAAGGUUGGCACCCUUAGUUGUUUGAUGUAGAUGUUCUAGAUAAAAUUCCUAAAGUCCAGCUGUUAUGAUUUAGCUUAAUAUGUUUGUACAGAGGGGUUUCCUUUGUCAUUGAAGAGAUAGAGUCAAAACAGAAUUAGUCAUUCUUGCAUCUUCUAUUUAUAGCCCACUAUUAUUCUGAUGCAUUGUCAAAGAAUGAAGUGGACAAGAAUUUUUCUUCCUUUCUUUCUUUUUUUUGUGUAAACAAAACUCUUUUUAUACUCUGUGGAUUUAACUUUGGUUGCUAACUUAGUCAGACAAGGCACUUAACAAAAAUAUUACUUCUUAAAUGAAAAAUUACCUAUUAAGUCAUCCCAUCUUCAUUUGCAAAUUAAAGGUUUGUCAGUACAAAGUAUGUGGGAUGACCAGAAGUCAUGGAUGACUUACACUGAAGUGGCAAGGGUAGAAAAGGUCAGUUUGAAAAUUUAUUUGUAUGGGUUGCUCAUGACUAAUAGUCCAAAUCUGGAGAGUUUAUAAACAAAAUUCUAUUCUGUUUAUUUAGUUUAUGCCAGCAUUAAAGCUAGCCUGAAAAUUUAGUGAAAGUCAUUUAAGGAAUUUUUAUUUGGAGGAAACUUUAAUUUUUAUUUUUGAGGUCACUGAAUAAAUGUAGAGGUCUCUGUGGCCUGUACUGCAACAAGUAGAACAGUUAGAUAAACUGGUUGUUGAAACUCCCUGGGCCACUGAGUUUUCUUAUUUCUUUUUUUUUUUUUUUUAGUAGAGAGCUGACUUUAGAGGGAUCAAGAAUAGCUUGCUGGAUGGAAGGAGCUUGGGGCCAGUCAUCAUCUUAAAGGCUCUGUGGCAGCUUGGACUUGAAGUAGGGUGCACCCGGAAUUGACCAAUACAAACAGUGGACUGCACUGGAUUCUUCUUGUGCCCUGUCUCAUAUCCUCUUGUCCCACCUUUUCAUAACAGCCAUUGCCAUGGGAACCAGCUGCAUCCAGGCUAGAGCAAAAGGAGGUACAAAACCAAAUGCUAAGAAGCUGCUGCAUUUACUGAGAUAACCGUCUUCAGCUAAUGUGAAGCACCUACAACUUACAUAGAGUAAGUGGUAGAAAAAUGUGUGUUGCAAGGAAAAGAAAAAAAUAUAUGGCAUUACUCUGGCCCCGAUACAGACACCCAUUUUUAAAUAAAAAUCUCUUAUUUAUCUGGUAAACUGUUGAUGAAAUGGCAACACGAGUGAUAGAUCUCGAUUUUCUAUCUCAUCCAUUGAGGAUGUGUACUCUUUUGUUUUAUUCAUGCAGACAAUCUGCCAGUCAUCAUUCACAUUGCAUCUGCUCUAUAAUAUCCAAUAGGCAUUAAAAGGCAUCCUGCACAGUGAAACCUCGAACAAAAUAGUGUUACUAUAACCACCAUCUGGUCUGAUAUGAAGAGAGUGAUUAUUUACUUAUGCCCUACCAGUCUAGAAAUGCCUGGAUCUGGCAUGGCGGGGGAGGAAUCAGUGUAAUAUUUUAUACAGAUCACACUUAGUUACCGUGAGCAUGAAAACGUUUUGGUCAACAGUCUUGAAGGCCAAGACCAGCAUAGUAGUGGCAUAAUCCAUUGAGCACAAAAGGAACAUAUAAGAAUUUAUAUUUGUCCUUUGUAUCUUAUAAUCAUCAAUCACUUUAUAUGAAUAGACACUGGUGCCUACAUACUCUAUAUGUUAGAUGAUCAUAUGCCAUACAUGGAACAUGGGGUAGCAAUUUCAAAACUCAGAAAGGCUACAGGCAUAACUCUUAUUUGUGAGUUUGUCUUUGGUAUAUGAAGACAUAUCACUGUGCCCAGGUAGGUGAAUGCGUAGAUUAUAUUGUGUAUUUCACAAAAUGAACAAGAGAAUUAAAAAUAUUCUUAAAAUGAAAUCUCAAAUUGAAGUAGUCAUGAUAAUACAAACAUGUACAAACAGUUGGAGAACAGAAGAACUGAUGCUUCCCCAUUCUUCAGUUAUGAGAUGGAAACAAGGAAAUUUUAAAAAAAUUUUCUAGAAGUUGCGUAGAAUUAAGGACAGUACAUAUUGGAAAUUGCAAAUUCAUAGGCCCUCAAGACUGUUGACCAAAACAUUGUAAUGCUCAUUUUAAUUAGCUCAUUUUAAUGCUAAGUGUGAUCUGUAUAAAAUAUUACACCGAUUCCUUCUCCCUCACACCAGAUCCUUACAUCUUUCUGGGGACAGACAUUUCUAGACCGGCUUAGCACUAGUGAAGUUAAAGUUGAACUCUGUGCUAAGAAUAUAAAAUUACACAGUCUAUUAGCUAAUAAUGUUUGGAUGCAUCACCACCAGCAAGUCAUUUUAAAACUGAAAAAAAAAUUAGAAUACUGUCAAUAACCUAACUUUUAGUGAAGGAAAAUAUCUUUGUGCUAUUAAUUUUAGAAAAUUAUGUAAAAAUAUGGGCUACUUCACCUUUAUCUUACUUUUUCACAGUUCCAUUUUUGUGUCUGUUGUAUCAUGUACAUGUGAGGGCGUGUGCAAAAAUGUUUUACUGAGAUAGGUAGAUCAGUGAAGUUCAGAGACCACUAGUUUAAUUCCAGAUCAGGAAUGUAUGCAAAAAUAUUUCACAGAGGGCUCUAUAAUCAUCCCCUGCAACACUAUUGAACCCUUUUACCAAAACUAGGCCUCAAAUAUUUGAUUAAAGAAAGUGUUCUGAGACUAAGAAUAAAAUUUUACAACCAUCAUUUUAGGCAGGCUUAUACCUUCAUUUUAAAUUAUCACCUUUUGGUCCAAAUGCAUUUAAUUGUUCAUUGAGGAAGGAGAAGGAGCAAGGGAUAAAGGCUACUGUAUCUUGAUCUAUCAGAUUUUAAAAAAUUUUUUGAACCACUCUCAUAUGCUAGGUCUGGAUUGUCAAUUAUUGCUUCAGUGUUCUUUAGAGUAAUAAAAUAUAAGCUUCCCAGAGGUGUCACUGUUCUUCUCUUUGCUGCACCCAAUCUUUUCAGUACCACAAGGUAGAAGAUGUCUCACAAGGAUCAAACUAAUAAAGUGUAAGAGGCGAUUAAGAGAAUACAAUUUCAUAAAUAUCUAUAGGGCAAAGGGACCAUGAGCCAUAGGCUUUUUGAGCAUAUAAUAUGACUUUGUAUCUUUCAUGAGACUCUCUAAGUGCUUUAUUUAUUAGUCAGUAUUAUUAUCCUUAGGUGACAGAUGGAGACAUUCACACCUAGAAAGAUGUAAUACAUCCUCAAAGUCAUACAUUGCGUUGAGGGCGGAGCAGCAAGUGAAGGAGUUAGCGGACAUCCUAUAAAGCUAUAUUUAUACCAGGGGUGCUUUGAGAAGAACUGGGCAAAGCUUGUGAAUAAAAACAAGCUAUUACAAUCAGCCGCACUACCUAUUUCUCUCUUUCCAAACAAAGGCCUGAGAGAUGAGAGAGAAAAGAAAGGCAAAGCAAUGUUUACAAUAUGCAUGGGAAAAAAAUGAUAUUUGACAUUUGGUUUUAAAAACAUUUUUUAGGUUAUGUGAAUAAUUCCAUGAACCAAAGUAGAAAUUAUGUAGUUUAACAUCAGUUUACCCCACCCCCAUUUCAAUCUUACACAACCCCGCUGCCUCCACCAGACCUACCAGGUUUAGCACAGUGCUUUGUGUAUAUCCGUAGUUCACUUUCUCUUUAUAGUGCCUGGCAUAUCAUAAUCACUCAAAGAACUGUUGAAUGAAUAAAUGUAGAUAGAUAUUAAUAUUAAUAUCUCCAUCUUAGUGACACCAGCUCAGAACAAUCAGCUUGGACAGUCAUGCCAUUCAUUCAUAGCAGAGCUGGGAUUUUUAACUCUUUCUCCACCCUCUUGCUUUGCCUACCACUAAGAAGCUUAUCAAGGAAUCUCAACCCAUGCAGUACUCUUUUAGAAGAGAUCUAGAAAAUAGAAUGUUCUCUAUUUUGUACAUUUCCAGCAAUGUUCAAGUAUCUCAUGAUUUUUCUGCUAUUCCAUUUAACUCCACCUUAAAUCCUACAGCUCAUAAAACAUGGCUUAUGUCACUAGUUUAGCAAUAAAACACCUUUACUAUGACAUCUCUAGUGCUAUUAUUUUAUUUUACAUAUUUUGUAACCUCAACUCAAGUUUACAUUCUUUGAAGGCAGAAGCCCUGUGUUACUUACAUUUUUUAAAUUACUUUCAGCAUCUUGUGCUGUGUUGUUGACAUAGUGGUAGAUACUUAGCAUUUGUAGUAAACUGAUCAUAAUCAAAGAACAACAUUACUACUGUUAUUCUGUGAUUGGACAUCAAGAGAAAGCUUCCUUAACCCUCACACCCAGCAUCUUAUCACUAUAAAGACCACUGAAACAAUAGUUGAUGGUCCAGGCCCAGCCAUGAGAUUGGUACACGUUUUUUUUAAUCUGAUGUAUCAAAAUACAAUAACCUCUAUCCCUUGCUCCUUCUUCUUCUUCAAUAAGCAAUUACACACAUUUUAGGGAAAAGAAGAUAAUUCAAAAAUUCAAUACUUUUUGGUCCAGCUAACAGUGAGAAAUGUUAAGGCCUUAGGGCCACGUUAUACUGAAUGGAUAUUUUUUUUUAUAGCUCACAUACCUUUUUAUUUUUAUAUAUAACCAAAGAUAAUGCAUGUGACGGUUUUCCAUAUCUAUGGUAUGACUGGCAGUUUCCACUCUCCUCAAAGUGAAAGGAAAACACUGGUUAUACCAAGGGUAGGUCAUAUAGCCAAUGGGUUCCAAUGGCCCAAGUACAAAAUAUAAUGUACAAAAGUGUCCAGUGACUGCACUAAUCUAAUGAGGCUGGUGUGCCAUGUUUGUCAAGUGUGGAGCUCUCUUGCACAGGUACUGACAGCUGGUAAUGAGAUACAGAAACUUUUUCCACAUCAGUAGCCCAAUCCCUCCUGGCUUGGAGCUGUCCCAAGAUCUGUGCCCUCUGCUACCGUGUUUAUGACACACAGCACAGCAUGGGCUGCUGAACGUGCCCAUUUUUCAGUUCAAGGGGUGCUCAACCAUUUCUUCCACAUCUUUACUCAUGAGAAGUGAUUUUCCAAAUUCUUGGAUCCUGGAAAUGACCCAAACAUAGCUCACUAAACUAAUUUCUCUCAGAGUUUUUAAACGCAUGUGCAUUUGAGCAUAAACACUAUCCAUAUGUUUCUGAUUCAUUUACACUGAACUCAUCAAAGGACUGUGUUGUAAGAGUUGUUUGAUGUCCAAGAAUACUUGAGGGGUUUUUUUAAGAUGGAAUUUUAUACUUUCUUUCACCAUUUUCCUUAGGAAGCCGAAUGUUGUUGAGAGUAAACAAACAUGGACCCCCAAGGAUCUGGGGUUUAUUCUUAUAUUCAAAAUUCAGAAGGAGGUAACUCGGCAGGAAAGGCAUCCCUGGCCUCUGGUGUAACCUGGCACUAUUCCCCAAAGUGUAGGAAGUGCUUAGGGUGAACAGGGAUACUCCUUUCAGGAGACCUUCUUUUACUUGGAGAUUUAUUCAUUGGAUCCCAAAAGGCCAUUACAAAACCUAAAACAAAUACAACUCUUGGAAGCUAGCUGGGGUCUCUUGCUUCCCAGUUUGAGGAGAAAGCUUUAAAAUGUUUCUACUGCAAUUGUUCUUCAUUAUUGGAAGAGAACCAGAGAAGGCUUUUUAGGAAACCCAGUAUUUAUUCACCUGAAAGCAUCCGUGUCCUACAUUUAUAUGCUAAAGAGACAAGACAAGCAUCUGUGGCUACAGCUGAGAACUAAUUAAGGUUGCUCUUUAACAAACAUUAUGUGGUUCAUUCCAUUCUUCCUUGAUUAAGAACAAAAGAGAAGGAGAGUCAUUUAUUGUCAUGAGUCACUUGAGGUACAAUGGAAGGAAUUCCAAAACGCUGCUGAGACAAAACAAAACUGACAUUAUGAAAGCCAUGUCUAAACACUAAUUUAAACUGUCAACUCACUACCAAGGAAGACUCUUGACAGACAGAGAAUUAAAGCUUUAAAGACCUCAUAAAUCACUGAGGAGAUUAGCACCAGCGUGAAUGAGUUAAAAUACACUUCUGCCUUCAGAGCGUUACAGGGGUUCAAAGCAGUCCUAUAGGAUUUGAUGGGAAAAUUAGUUGUAAUAACUAGGAAGAGAAAAAUUCCCAAAUAUAGCUUCUUGGGGAUUUCACAGUGCAGGCUUCACCCACCACAGUUAUUUCAGGUACCUGACUUAGUGAAAUAUAAUAUAGAUGCUUUUGGGAUCCAACAUAUAGCACAAUAAAAAUGACUUUUGAGAAAUGUUGGAAUCCAAAAACAUUAUUUACAAAUACCAAACAUUUUUCAAACCCCAAACCACUAAAAAUAACUGAAAUUUAACCUAAAUGUAUGACUCAGCAGUGGAUUUAACACCAUUUUGUCCUUGUUUCCCAUUUAUGCCUCUCUCCAAAAAUCCUGUGGCAUAUAUAUGAUUUUGGGGCAAGAUUCAUCAUUUCUCCCACUGGAUGGAGUUUCCAAGCUCUGUCGCCAGCACCAAGAAGUCUUCAGAGCAAACUUUGUUGGCAUUUCCAUCGAUUUUAAUAUUUAAAUAUUACCCUCUUUAGGGUCUCUGAGUUAAAAAGAACCACUUACUCCAGUGAGAGAAUCCUCGAUCUUACCUAGUGCUGAAAAGAAAAGGCACAAGGAGAUUCUGCUCCUAAGUGGUCUGCACCCAGAGAGGCUGAGAUAGAUGCCUCUGAGAGAGAGAUCAUUAACAGCUGGACAACCCUUUAGAAAAUGAAGGAGCCAAAAAUGUAACUCUACAGAGUUAAAUCAUACUCUGGUAACUCUUCCCCCCACUCCCGAGGUCUGACUAAUCAUUUCUUUACAGGUUCUUUCUCGAAGACUCCACAAAAUAAAUUUUUUUCCCCUAAGUCCUUGGUGCACUCUAGAUGAUCUCUUUGACUUGGAUCUUAUCACAUCUGUGCCUGUCCAGAAAUGAUUUUCUGAAGCAUAUGUUCAUGUGGUCUCUUCCUUCCCCAAAUUGGAAAGUUUUGCAUGCAGUAAUUUUAUUCCAUUCUUUGAUUUUUUUUUUCCUUUUGGCUUAAGUCAAAGUGAUACAGAAAUCCACAUGGAGAAGAGUGGAAUAUAAUUGCUACAGCCUUCAGACUGAAUCCUCUCUUAGCCAGGAUACGGCGGCUGUGUCCUCUUUUCCUCUCCGGCUCUUCUCUUCUCUCCCUAUGCUCCCCCUAUUAGUGACAGUUGUCAGAAACAGUCAGAAAUAGGUUUAAGUGGCUAAGAGAGAGCACCAAGAGAACAUUUAAGGAAGUAUCUUGAGGUGAACCAGUUGAUUCAACCAUAUAUAUCCAGCUGUAGGACACUCAGUCCCAAGUUCCAAGACAUAAAACUUAGACCCAUCUUGGACACAGGUCUCAGGACUCCUUUAAGGAUGUGAAUUGCUCCAGAAGCUUUUUGUCUAGGGUCAUAUCUCUGUCAGUCUUCUGCCCAAUGGGAAUCUUAGUUUAACGUUUUAGUGGUGCUACAGAGGUUGAGUUACAGUCACGUGACUCUAAAUUCAGUUCUGUAAUGCCAAAACUAUCGCACUUUAUUCUUUUUUGGAAGAGAGGCAGGAAGUGUGCAAUGUAAUCGUGAUCCCUCCUCGGGCUCCCCUUCCAUGAUCCCAAAUAGAACUCAGGUUGGAAACUGCAAAAGUGGUCUCAAGAAAACUGUUGUAAAGGGCAUCCUGGUUCUUUGAAUGUAAACUUGAUCACAUGCCCAUAAAUUUCUACAGAGUCCCAGAUUCAUCCCCAAGCUACUCUGGUGGAUUAUAAGAUGAAAAGAGAGACACUCAACUCCAUCCCUCACCAGGAAGAAGACUACCACUCUUUCUCAUGCCUUCUGAACCUACUCUGAUCAGCAAGAGAUGAUUGCCCCAAAACUCCCACAUGAGAAUCAUGAGAGGGGCCUUGUCUGAAAAGUGGAAGAAAAACUCAAUAAUGAACUUUACCUGAGCAUGGUACCGUCAGAAAGGAAACCAAAUUAUUAAGCUCUGCCUCUGGAUACUAUACCAUUGUCUGCUUUUCACUGACCACUGGCUCUUGAGACUGAAGCUGCAUGAAAACUCCACUAGUCCAAUUCAAAUAACUUGUCAUUAUUUCCAGGUUCUUAAUUCAUCAUAAACCCAUAGAUCUUUUCAAGCUCUUAUGGUUCCUUUUAAACUUUAGUUUAUAGAAGAGUAUACCAGGUAUUAGGCAGAAACUCUGGCAUCAGAAAAGGGCUGGCUUGCCAGCACUUGAAGUGCAGAUGAGUGAUUUGAUUUGGUUACACUAUUUAAAGUUCUGAGUGCAGGGAACACCUUGCAUAGCCAGAAACCAUGUUUUCUGUUUAUAGGUCAAAUGACUAGCCUUGUAGAGAAUCAUAAAGAUCAUAUUUGGAUUUGGCCAUCUCUUGCUAACAUUCCUCCUGUGUUUGUAAACACUGCUGACUUUGACCCCAGUCUCUCACAAAUCCAUGACUGACACCAAACAGCCACAGAGGAGCUGCAGAACAUAAUGUGAUUCUGUAAUGCAAAACAGGAUGACUUGCUAAGUGUGCAGAUCUGGAGAGAAUUCCUGACAUAAUCCUUCUUACGUCUUUCAUGAUAAUUAUUUCCAUCUUCAGAAUACAUGGAAACAGUGGUCCCUUGGACAUUGUUUCUAGAGGCUGGACUGAAAUCCCUUCUGCUGGGCUAACUGUAUGUGAUAAGGCACUGGGGCCAUGAGUAUGCCAGCAGAAUGCACUAGGACCUGCAAAGGUGAGAAUGAGCUAAGAAAACCUAGCGACUAGCUGUGGAGAUGCUGCAGCAGAAGGAAAUGUAUAAAAUAGCAACUACUCUUCCAAAUACUGGAAAUCAGCUCUAGUCAUAGCUUACUCAUCCACGUACACAUUUAAAACACUGAUUGAGAGCCUACUAUGUGCCAUAAGCAUUUACGAGGGACUAUGAUUUGAAAUGCAUUAGUAAUCUCACAUUUUUAAUAGUCAUGCUAAAACAAAUUCAGCUCACCUCUCAGAGCAUAGACAUAGAGUCUUCAUAGUGGACUGGAAGUGUUUAUUUAAAACAUAGUUACUAUUUUUAAACAGGUAAAAACAUAGAACAUUGGGAAAGGCUGAAAAUGGGAGGGGCCUAACCCAAUUAGUAAACAAAGGAAAAAGAAUUGAAUCCUGGUUCCUACCUAAUCAGCGCUUCGUAGAAAUGCAGUCUAGAACCAGCUCUCCCUAAUUUCAGUUGUCAGGGCAGCCUUCACAUAACGCUUCUUCCUAGGGAGUCAGCUCUGUAAAGCAGAUGUGUAAAGAUCCUUGUUUCUUUUAAUUAAAAACCCCAGCCUACUGAAGUUUUGGGGAAACCAAGAAAGUGGGCAUAAGGCUAAGGUCCUAAGUUAUAUUCCUUGCGUUCCAUAUCUAAUGGACUUCCAGGAGAAUGUCACCAUGGUCAUUUAUACAGUCCUGCAGAAUACCAUGAGAAAGCAAAAGAGCAUGAUCGGAUCCGGGGCAAGGAUGGAAUCAUGGACACAUUUUACUCAUAUCAUUGUCACCAUUUGUACCUCAGAGAUGAGAAUUUCAUAUCUCAAAGACCUUAUAAUCAGUCCAAUAAAUAACUAUUUCUUGACUUUGUUGCUGAGUCAUAUAAUAUAAUCCAAAACAAUAGAGAGGAGUAAAAAGUGGAGGCUUGAACCCAGGGAAGAAUAAAAUAAUAGCAUGACAAUAAACACCCAUAUCUGUAGAACACUACUGUGUGCCGUUUUUUAAAAUUAAACAUCAUUUCAUUUUUUUUCUUACAACAAUCCUAUGAGCUAGACAUUAUUAAUCCUUCUGGCAUCUAGGACAAAGGAGUGAUGGAGAACAAGAUUUGCCUAAAAUUCCACUGAUCCCACACUUCUAAGACCGGUACUCCUUCCCUCACAAGGCACUGUUGAAGUUGUGUUUGGAGACUUUGCACAGUAAAAUACAUAUACAGUUCAGGGAAAUAUGCAAUGUGGAAAUGAUAUUUUUACCUUUGCAUAGCCAUAAUAGUACCAAAUCCUCAUUUAUACAGGGAUCUUAUAACAUGCAAUGCAACAUCUGAAAACUAAUAUUUUGCCACUUCCC